GCUCCUACGGAGGCAGCAGUGGGGAAUAUUGCACAAUGGGGGGAACCCUGAUGCAGCGACGCCGCGUGAGUGAAGAAGUAUCUCGGUACGUAAAGCUCUAUCAGCAGGGAAGAAAAUGACGGUACCUGACUAAGAAGCCCCGGCUAACUACGUGCCAGCAGCCGCGGUAAUACGUAGGGGGCAAGCGUUAUCCGGAUUUACUGGGUGUAAAGGGAGCGUAGACGGCCAGACAAGUCUGAAGUGAAAGGCAGGGGCCCAACCCCUGGACUGCUCUGGAAACUGUCCGGCUGGAGUGCAGGAGAGGG
rnacentral:rRNA from 1 species